rnacentral:rRNA from 1 species
UCGGAUUGUAGGCUGCAACUCGCCUACAUGAAGUUGGAAUCGCUAGUAAUCGCGAAUCAGAAUGUCGCGGUGAAUACGUUCCCGGGUCUUGUACACACCGCCCGUCACACCAUGGGAGUCAGCAACGCCCGAAGUCAGUGACCUAACCGAAAGGGAGGAGCUGCCGAAGGCGGGGCCGGUAACUGGGGUGAAGUCGUAACAAGGUAGC